AGGUCCUUGUGGUGCCUCUCUGGACUUGGCUGCAGGCAGAGGUACGGGGUGGGUGGGAGUCUCUCUUGCCAGUUGAUUUGUGCUAGGACCCUCGAGAAGAGACUAUUCGGAAAUGUCCAAGAGACGCUCAUCUGCUGCGUGUCAGGGAAGAGGUGGUUCCACUGAGGCUCCUCUUGCAAGGGCAGGGGGCACUGGGGAUGAUCUUACGGAACCAAGUGGCGGAGGCUCAAAAAGAGUUUUGGAACCACCGCAUUCGAACAAAUAAUCACAGAGAAAGCAGGCGGCUCUAUUCUGUGCCAGAGGAGAAGUGAUUGGCUGGGAAGACACACCUGCACUCUUCAUGCUAAUCCAGUGGCUUCUUCCAUGGCAUAAAAAAAG